AGUACGUUAUACUACCGUCGCAGAGUUAAUAAUACACUAAAACAGUUUCAGAAAUAGACUUGGCAACGGCAAAUUAAUUCAUACAACGACAUUGCAUUCACUGUGUUUCUAUCAUUUAUCUUCAUUUAUACUAAGACUUCGCGGACUUCGUGUUUACAGCUACUAUCACUAAUGUGAGGUGUAAAAAGCCAUUUCUACUAUAUACUCGUAUAGGAGGAGGAAUUCACGCACUUUGCUUGAGGCCUUUUUCCAAUAGGUGGAAAUGGAAUGAUAUCCCUGCCUGCGCAUAUAUGGUGACUGGAAGCCACCAAUGAGUGAUAAUAGCAAACCCUGAGUUGAAAGGAGCCAUAAUUACCAGCUGACAGUGUGCAUACAAUAAGUACAUUAUUGAAGUUUUCCAGUCAAGAGAGCAAUAAAAUUUAAUCUGAGAUCACAUUGGUGACCACUGAUUACAAUUCUAAAACAGAACCAUCUUCUUUUUGAAGUUAGCUGAUAAAUUUGCAGAAUGCUUGACUGAUAGAGAACACCCUCCAGUGUUAAAUCCACCAAGUGCACAUAG